rnacentral:rRNA from 1 species
AAACCGUUCAGGGGUAAACCUGAGAAACCCAAAAGAUCGAAUGGGGAGAUUCAGCGUCAGCCGCUUGUUGGCUUGCGUGCGGCUCGCGAUGUCGAACGCCUCGGCGUUUGGCACGCGGUCGCUGCGUCAUGUCCGGCGCGGUCGGCGUGCACUUCUCCCCUAGUAGGACGUCGCGACCCGUUGGGUGUCGAUCCACGGCCCGCGAGGUUGACCGUAGCGCAGGAGCGUGUCAAAAGCGUUUCGCGCGUUGCGGACCCGCGGUCGCCCGAUCGACUGCCCGGCGGUAAAGAUUUUUUUCUCAUUUACGGUAUUGGGCCGCGCUUCGGCGCGUUUUUUCAAUGGCUCGUCGGCAGAUUGGCCUCGCUCGGAUUUACGGACCUGGUGCCGUUGUCGGGUGCUUGGCCGGUCGUUACGCCGACGGUGUCCUCGAACGGGCCCGAAAAGGCAAAAAAUUUAUUUUUUGCCGUUACCGGUCAGCGACGCUACUGCUUUGGGUACUUUCAGGACCCGUCUUGAAACACGGACCAAGGAGUCUAACAUGUGCGCGAGUCAUUGGGACUUGAAACAAAGCCUAAAGGCGCAAUGAAAGUGAAGGUCCGCUUUGAUGCGCGACCGAGGGAGGAUGGCUCCCGCUACGACGCGGAGCCCGCACUCCCGGGGCGUCUCGUGCUCAUUGCGAGCUGAGGCGCACCCAGAGCGUACACGUUGGGACCCGAAAGAUGGUGAACUAUGCCUGGUCAGGACGAAGUCAGGGGAAACCCUGAUGGAGGUCCGUAGCGAUUCUGACGUGCAAAUCGAUCGUCGGAACUGGGUAUAGGGGCGAAAGACUAAUCGAACCAUC